rnacentral:rRNA from 1 species
GUGGAUGCCUUGGCACUAGGAGCCGAUGAAGGACGGGACUAACACCGAUAUGCUUUGGGGAGCUGUACGUAAGCUAUGAUCCAGAGAUUUCCGAAUGGGGGAACCCAACAUCUUUAAUAGGAUGUUACGAUUGUGUGAAUACAUAGCACAUUCGAGGUAGACGCAGAGAACUGAAACAUCUAAGUACCUGCAGGAAGAGAAAGAAAAUUCGAUUCCCUGAGUAGCGGCGAGCGAAACGGGAAAAGCCCAAACCAGCAAGCUUGCUUGUUGGGGUUGUAGGACUCCAAUAUGGUAGUUCUUUCAGAUAGUCGAAUGACUUGGAAAAGUCAGUCAAAGAGGGUAAAAACCCCGUAGACGAAAUGUGGAAGACACCUAGGAGGAUCCUGAGUACGGCGGAACACGAGAAAUUCCGUCGGAAUCCGGGAGGACCAUCUCCCAAGGCUAAAUACUCCCUAGUGACCGAUAGUGAACCAGUACCGUGAGGGAAAGGUGAAAAGCACCCCGGAAGGGGAGUGAAAUAGAACCUGAAACCGUGUGCCUACAACAAGUCAAAGCCCGUUAAUGGGUGAUGGCGUGCCUUUUGUAGAAUGAACCGGCGAGUUACGAUUGCAUGCGAGGUUAAGUUGAAGAGACGGAGCCGCAGCGAAAGCGAGUCUGAAUAGGGCGUUUGAGUAUGUAGUCGUAGACCCGAAACCAUGUGAUCUA